rnacentral:rRNA from 1 species
GCUGGCCGGCAGAGCUCGCUUUCUGCAGUUCUCACAUGGUCGCCCACUGAAGCUAAGCAGGGCUGCGCCCGGUCAGUACCUUGAUGGAAGACCACAUGGGACAGCUAGGUUGCUGCAGGAA